CCCAGCUGUCAGUUUGAAAAACGGUGACUUCCUAUCUUUCUUUCCCAGUUUGCAGCAUCAGCAGAAUUAGCCGGGUGCUUCCUGUUAGCAGAAGGCUCGCCGUCACCUUCCACCAGAGGCGCUGAGUCUGCCCAGCUGGCCAAGGUCAGCAGACGGCUGGCAGUGGACUCAGCCCGGGAUUGCGCUGGUCAAAAAGACACGGGCAUGGGAUGUGUGCUCCAAGCACCAGCAGUGAGUGAGUUUCCACUCGGACAAAGCAGCUGAGACCACGUGGAAGGAAGGAGACAGACAGUGUUCUUAAGAUCUCCCAGCUGGUGGAUACAACUCGGGAUUCACACCAAAACCCAGAAAGCAAACUCUCCCAUCCUUGAGCUUUCUCUCUUCAGGUUACCGCUGUGCUAUGCACUAUGAGGGUCAUGGAAAUUUCUGAAAGAACCAAGGACCUUCGCCUAAAGGAGAGAAUAUUAAGAUACAACAUAAGCACGGUUUUAACUACUGCAAACCUCUCUUCCAUCACACCACUUACUCAUUCGUAACACUCAUUUCUGGUGGAGUGUUUGGUUUUUUUUGUUUUGUUUUGUUUUGCUUUUCUUUGUUUACUUGCUUGAUUUUUGAAUUAAUUUUUGCUUAUUUGAUUUUGGUUUAUCUUCCUCAAAGGAAAAAAGGAGGGAGUAUGUCUGUUUGAUUUUUCUCAUAAGAGCUCCUAAAGUGGACACUAAGUAUGUAUGUAUUACAUGAAUAGCUGAAUACCUUAUGAAGAUUAAAAAGAUGAAGUGAAAA